GUGAGGAAUAUUGGUCAAUGGGCGGGAGCCUGAACCAGCCAAGUCGCGUGAAGGAAGAAGGAUCUAUGGUUCGUAAACUUCUUUUGCAGGGGAAUAAAGUGCAGGACGUGUCCUGUUUUGUAUGUACCCUGAGAAUAAGGAUCGGCUAACUCCGUGCCAGCAGCCGCGGUAAUACGGAGGAUCCGAGCGUUAUCCGGAUUUAUUGGGUUUAAAGGGUGCGUAGGUGGUUUGAUAAGUCAGCGGUGAAAGUUUGCAGCUUAACUGUAAAAAUGCCGUUGGAACUGUCGGACUUGAGUGUAAAUGAGGUAGGCGGAAUGCGUGGUGUAGCGGUGAAAUGCAUAGAUAUCACGCAGAACUCCGAUUGCGAAGGCAGCUUACUAAGCUACAACUGACACUGAAGCACGAAAGCGUGGGGAUCAAACAGGAUUAGAAACCCUUGUAGUCC
rnacentral:rRNA from 1 species